rnacentral:rRNA from 1 species
AUACGUAGGGUGCGAGCGUUGUCCGGAAUUACUGGGCGUAAAGAGCUCGUAGGUGGUUUGUCGCGUCGUCUGUGAAAUUCCGGGGCUUAACUCCGGGCGUGCAGGCGAUACGGGCAUAACUUGAGUACUGUAGGGGAGACUGGAAUUCCUGGUGUAGCGGUGAAAUGCGCAGAUAUCAGGAGGAACACCGGUGGCGAAGGCGGGGCUCUGGGCAGUAACUGACGCUGAGGAGCGAAAGCAUGGGUAGCGAACAGGAUUAGAUACCCUGGUAGUCCAUGCCGUAAACGGUGGGCGCUGGUUGUAGGGGUCUUCCACGACUUCUGUGCCGUAGCUAACGCAUUAAGCGCCCCGCCUGGGGAGUACGGUCGCAAGGCUAAAACUCAAAUGAAUUGACGGGG